rnacentral:rRNA from 1 species
UACGUAGGGUGCAAGCGUUGUCCGGAAUUAUUGGGCGUAAAGGGCUCGUAGGCGGUCUGUUGCGUCGGGAGUGAAAACUUACAGCUUAACUGUGAGCGUGCUUCCGAUACGGGCAGACUUGAGGUAUUCAGGGGAGAACGGAAUUCCUGGUGUAGCGGUGAAAUGCGCAGAUAUCAGGAGGAACACCGGUGGCGAAGGCGGUUCUCUGGGAAUAUCCUGACGCUGAGGAGCGAAAGUGUGGGGAGCGAACAGG